GACUCGAUGGCCUAGUGGUACGGUACUCGCUCUGGGUGCGAGAAGUCCCUGGCUCGAAUCCCAGUUGGGUCA
rnacentral:tRNA from 1 species